rnacentral:rRNA from 1 species
UCCUACGGGAGGCAGCAGCCGCGGUAAUGGACGAAAGUCUGACCGAGCAACGCCGCGUGAGUGAAGAAGGUUUUCGGAUCGUAAAACUCUGUUGUUAGAGAAGAACAAGGACGUUAGUAACUGAACGUCCCCUGACGGUAUCUAACCAGAAAGCCACGGCUAACUACGUGCCAGCAGCCGCGGUAAUAAUCACUAGUGAAUUC